rnacentral:lncRNA from 1 species
ACCGUUAUGAAGUUUCCGGUGUUCUGGCCAUCUGCACGCAUGUAGUUGUUUGUAGAGGUGCUAUGGAUACCAGCAGGAAUCGCCUUGGUGAUAUCAACUGGUUCAGGAGCAGGAGCAGGAGCAACAGGCUUGGAAGCAGGCUCAUCUGGAACUGGCGCAGCUUGAGCAUUGUUGGCAGCCGGUUUUGGAGCCUCUCCACUCCCAAAAAGAUAGUUCAAAGAACUCUGUCCCCCACCGCUGCUAACUCCACGACCCAUGUUCUGUAACUUCUUCACAGAUAACCCUACACCCUUACAUUACAAACAGAUGUUUAGAGUGGAAUUCUGGAAUAAAGAACAAAAUUGCAAGAAACUAUACCAAUGAUUCCUAAUUGACGCCUCAACCAGUAAAGAAUAUACCUACAGGAACAAUUAUCACAAUAACUCUGUCACUACUUGACUCAGUGUCACGAAAUACUUUGAAAUCAAAACACCAUAACAUGAUCUAAACCAUUGAUCCAUUUUAUAAAUCGAACCACUCACAAGAAACCCGAACGAGAAGGAAAAAACAAAAAUCUUAAGAGUCUGCACCAUGAACUUCAAGGUUGGAAUCUGCCUUCGUCACAAAAAGGGUCAACUUUUCGAUGUUUGAUAUACCAAACAAAUUCAAUUUCUACUUAUUUUGGAAUGAUUUCUUCACAAUUUUUAAAACCCAAUUGAUCGGUUCAGCUAAAUUACACAAACAGAAGUUCAAUUUAGCAAAAUGCAGGCUCACACGCAGACACUUUGUCGGUAUAAAAAAUCGAAAACAGACAGAUCCACGAUCAACAGUUCAUCCUAGAAACCUCAAAAAUCAGAAGCAAAAGAAACGUCUCAGUCAAACACUACCACGAAUCAAAACAUACAUCUAUAGAUCUACCAAAUGAAAUGCACCCCAAAAAUCCACCGAUUAAAUAUCAAAAUUAUCCACUAGGAAAAGCAUCAAAUCAAGCACAGUAAAAUUGGGUUCUAAAAAAGCGAGAAAUUGAAAGCGAAACGCAGCGAUUGAAUCGUGUAAGUCAAAAUCCGAGAAGGGAGGCAGAGAUCUAGGGUUAGAGAGAGGGGCGCGUAGGGUACCUGGUUGUUGGGAUCAGAUCUGGAAGGGAGAGCUGUGGAAGCAGAGAGUGUUGAGCUACUGGAGACACACAGAAACUGCACGCCACUUCUAGGUGUUAUAUAAACAUAUCAGUGCAGAUACGCUGUCACUGUUUUCCAAUUUUUAUUUUAUUAUUUUUUGAAUUAUCCAGAUUUUAUUUAUUAAAUAUUUCAAUUUUCACAAAUUUAAACCCUACCCCAAAAAAAUAAAUAGGUCAAUAUUUGGUGGAAAUUUGCAAUAUUAAUCUUACUGAAAUUGAAUCGACCAUCUUGGUUCUCUAAUUCUUUACUUUUUCAGAAUUUUUAUUUUCUUUUUAUAAAACAAAUGCUGCAUAUGCGAAAAAUGAUAAUUAAACAAUGAGAUUUAUUGUUAGAUGAAAAUUUAAAUAUGAAUCGUUGAUCAUAUAUUUAAAUGAAAUUAUAUUUUUUACCGCUUCGUUUGAUUGUGACACAGAACUUUAGGUCAUCACCAACCGAACAAGGGUCAAAGGGCUCCAAAGAGUCAUAGGCCAAACAUAGCUAUUUGACAAAAAUCAUCUCAAUGACAUCACCCAAGGCUAUGAAGUUGAAACCAGAGUACAUUAACUCCAACAAGAAUAAGUUCUAACUGAAACCCUUGGGUGUACAUGACCACCCAACGACAACCAAUGCUCUUAUUGAGUGAAAGAGAAAACAGAAAAAGACGACCAAGCAAAAGCAGAAACUCAAAUGUACUAGUCGGCUCCAUGUGUGCUAGUACCAUAAAUUUCAAAACAAGAUUAUCAAAACCCAGAAGAAAAUUAAAUCACUUGCACCCUAAUCGUGCACACACUUGCACCCUAAUCGUGCACACAACGUAAUGAAAAUUAAAUCACUUGCACUCUAAUCAUGCACACAACUUAAGAUACGAAAAUAAAUUAAAUCACUUACCUAUUCAAUGGAUACAAAACAUUAAGAAAAAAAAAGGGCAGUAAAGUCCGAAACAUUAAGAGAGAGAAAAAAAAACGGCGGUAAAGUAAAGGAUUAUUUGGACAGCUUUAAAACAGCAUUGUUGCAAUUGUCAUAAUUCAUAAAAGUCGAUAUUAGCAUGUGGCUAAAUGAGGAAUAACAGACUUGAUACCAGGACAAAUAAAAGGAAACCGAAUGCAAUAACCAAUUUAGGUAGACGUUUAGAAGCAUCUGAAGGCAGACCCACCUCGAUCAGCCAUCCAAGGAGGUGGCAUUUUUCAGUUCGUUAAAGCAGAAAUUUUUCAAAUUAGAGGACUGCAGGAUCUCGCCCUCUAUCCAAGGAGUUGAAACGCACUGAGACAGACGACACCCUUGCUAUCUGAAUGUAAUCCUACACAUUUCAAAUACCAUAUAACUAGUAAAUAAUGCUCAACAUUCAGUCAUCAUAUAAAGUUCUAAAAAUAAUCUAUAACAUCACAAUAAAAAAUAGUAAGGCCAAGUUAGUUGUUUCUGUAUACAGUACAGAAACUAAAACCUCAAUUUUGCCAUAGAUUGAUUUUGAACAACAAAAUGGUUAGCUUUUGAUGAUGCCACAACUUAUGAAGUACAGUGGUAAUCUAACAUGGUGUUUGAGGUUCGGUUCCAAUCAGUGGCGGAGCCAGGAAUCUUACCACAAGGGGUCUUAGUGUAAGUCCAAAUAAAAAUUUAGGAUGGAAAAACAUAUUGAAAAUGAAAUCAUAGUACUUUCUUUCAUAAUUCAUAAUGUAAACAAUAUUACAAGCUAUAAUUGUCCAUGACGAGGUUUCAUAUUUUGAAAACGAAGCAUUAUAGCUUCAUUUUCAAUACAAGCAAAAAUAUCUCUCUCAAUAUAAACAAGCAAGCUAUCACUCAACCAUUGAUCUCCCAUUUUGUUCCUAAGUGGACCCUUAACAAUAUUCAUGACAGAAAAUGCUCUCUCCACUGAAGCAGUUGCAACUGGUAAAACUAAAAAACAAUGUAAUGAGCAAAAUAUACAUAAUUGAAUACUUGAUGCAUCCUUGUCUCCACCAUUUUUUUUUGCAAGAUCACCAAUCCCUUCCAAUUGAGAGAAAUCACUACUGGAACGCACAUAAUAAAUAUAAAUCUCAAGUUGAUCUUCAAGUGUCAAACGAUCCUCAUCAUCCGAAAAGUCUUGAGGAUAAAAUUGAGCAAGACGAAGUAACUUUGGUUUAUCAAAAAGCUACAAAUGAAUCUUUCGGACUCAAACAUGUCAAACAAAUAAGCAACUCAGUAUUUACCUCAUUAAAGCGAUCCUCUAACUCUGUAAUUUGCUCAUCAAUGACAUAAAUAAAGAGCUCCACACGAUAAUGAUGACGAUUUGUUCUUAUUGGAGCAUUACGCCUUGACCUCCCUGGAAGUAUAAAUGCCUCUUCCACGUUAGGAACAUCAAUAUGAUGUUUUUCACAAAAAGAAGAUACUUCAUCAACUAAUGCAUCGAACCCAUUAUUCCUCAUCCAAUGUAGCUUUUCCCUACAUGAUUUCACUAAAGCCAUUGCAUUCACAAUUUCUUGAUCUUUCCUUUGCAAUGCUUGUGACAAAUCAUUUGUGAAUCCCAAUAUGACUUUCAUCAAGAAAAGGUGAAAUAUAAACUCAAAAGUACGUAUUUCUCUCAUUAACUUAUUUGCAUCACCCGCACUUUCAUUGGGAUUAUCAUCAAUAACCAUUUGAAGCACAUGAACCACGGAUGUAAACAUGGAAAUAAUGCUAAUCAAGGUACCAUAGUGUGAGUUCCAUCGUGUGUCACCGGCACGUUUGAGACUUGUUUCUUGAUUUAAGCCUCGUCCCGUUAUAAGACAAUCAUUUUCAAAAGCUAUCACAAGCUCUUCUUGAAGUUAUUGUCUAAGUAAAUCACACCGCUUACAAGAUGCUCUAACAUGAUUAACCACACUAUUAGCCGUUGCAAAAAAAGAGGCAAUGUCUAUAUUCUUCUUUGCUACGGAAACAAUAGCUAGUUGAAGUUGAAGAGCAAAGCAAUGAACAUAAUAUGCACAAGGUUGUUCUCUCAAUAUCUUUGUUUUAAGACCAUUCAACUCACCUCUCAUAUUGCUAGCACCAUUAUAACCUUAUCCUCGUAGCUUGGAAAUGCUCAAACCGUUGCAAGAAAAGAAUGUGUCGAUAGCAUCCUUUAGUGAACUUGAAGUAGUCUCGGUAACAUGUUGGAUACUCACAAAUCUUUCAAUUACAUGCCCGUUGUCAUCCACAUAACACAACACCAUAGCCAUUUGCUCUUUCACCGACACAUCACGUGCUUCAUCCACCAAUAUUGAAAAGAAUCUAUCUUUUAGACCAUCCAUGAUAGCAUCAAGUGUUUCAAGGGCACAUGAAUUCACAAUUUCUUUUUGAAUGGAAGGAGCUAGUAAUUUGAGAUUCCUCGGAGCAUUUUCCAUCACAACUUCUCUAACUUUAUCAUCAUUAUCUGCAAUGAAUUGCAAUAGCUCCAAGUAAUUUCCCAUAUUGCUUAAAGUGGCACUUUCAUCAUAGCCACGAAAAGCAAGACCUGUUGCAAUAAAAACUUAGUGCACUUGAUUGAUGCAUUCAAGCAUGUGCGAUAAGCCUUACGAGCUUGGUCAAAGUGUUUGCUCACUACCGUUUCAAUAUGUGUAGCUUGAUUCAUCAAAUUUGUAGCAGCUUCUCUAGCAUUAUUAUGAACACUCUAAACCGGUCUAACAUGCAUCUUAAAUCUGUCUCUCCCUUUCUUCCAAGUCUUAAAUCCAUCUCUAGUAAAAGCUUCACUACCCACUUGUUCAAAAUUGGUUUUAAAGAGAUAGCAAUAAAGACAAAAUGCCGCAUCUUUAGAUAUACUAUACUCCAACCAAUCAAACUCAUCAAACCAUUGGGGAAUGAAGCGUCGAUUAAUUCCCGACAUAUUAGUUAUUGGGAAAUUAUGACCUCUAGGUUGACAAGGUCCUUUUUGUAUAUAUGAUCUUCGGACCUCAUCUCUCAUAUUAGCAUCAUAAUCUAUCAUUUGAAUUCUUAAUCCAGGAUCCGCUUGAAGAUUACCCAAAACACCAUCUAACUGACUUUGUCUUGAACUUGGAGUUCUUGAACUACCAACAGUAUUUGAACUAUCAACAUUAUUCGAACUACCCGAACCCGAUGAUGACUUUCUCUUAAAAAACCGUUCCAUAAUAAUUCUACAUAUACAAAAUAUUCAAAAUAAAUACUCACAAUAUAAACAAACCAUCAACAUAAUCAAAAUAAAUAUGAAUUGGAUUUCAAUUAAAUUAAAUAUAUUCUACAUAUACAAAAUAAUGAAAAUAAAAACUCACAAUAUAAACAAACCAUCAACAUAAUCAAAAUAAAUAUGAAUUGGAUUUCAAUUAAAUUAAAUAUAUUCUACAUAUACAAAAUACUGAAAAUAAAAACUCACAAUAUAAAAAAACCAUCAAUAUAAUCAAAAUAAAUAUGAAUUGGAUUUCAAUUAAAUUAAAUAUAUUCUACAUAUACAAAAUAAUGAAAAUAAAAACUCACAAUAUAAACAAACCAUCAAUAUAAUCAAAAUAAAUAUGAAUUGAAUUUCAAUUAAAUUAAAUAUAUUCUACAUAUACAAAAUAAUGAAAAUAAAAACUAAUCAAACCACCAAUAUAAUCAAAAUAAAUAUGAAUUAGGUUUCAAUUAAAUUAAAUAUAUCAUACAUUAUACAUAGGGUUUAGAACUUACUUGAAUUGUGAAAUUUCACAAUAACAAUGUUAAUGAGCAAAUACAAAGAGAGUAGCUGGCGCGGCACCACCACCACAGCGACGACGACGGCAGCACAAAGGCACCUCAAUGGCGACAGCAAGGGAGGAGAUGGAGUUGAGGGUUUUGGGGGGGGGGGGGACUGAGUUUGGAACUUAGGGUUGGAGAAGGAGAAAACAAAAGAAAAUUUGGGGUUUUGGAAUGGGGGAGUUGGAUCUGUGAAAAAAAGAAGGAGAGCUGUUUUUUUUUUUUUCUUUUCAAACCUGGCCCAAAACGACGUCGUUUUGGCCAGGUCAUUUAAAAAAAAUUGCCUGGGCCAAAACGACGUCGUUUUGCCCAGGUUGUUUUUUAAAAAAAAAGGCCCACGCGCGGCGCCUCCUUCUUCUUCAACCUGCAAGGCUGCCUUCUUCUUUCAAACAUUCCGUCGAACACAUGGUGUGCAGCUCCGAGGGGUCGCACCAGCAGCUCCAAGGGACCUCUAAGGUUAUUUCCAUGGCUUCCAAGAGGUUGUGCGACCCCAUUGACCCCGCUAUGGCUCCCCCUCUGGUUCCAAUAGGUCUUGCUUUCAAACCUCUAAAGCAACACUCCCCAAUUGAUGGGGAAAACAUAUAAGCUCCAUUAAAUCCUAGAAAAUAAUCAAAAACAUAACAACAAAAGAGUAUAAUAAAAACCAGCAAGUCCAUGCAAAUCUGAGUUAAACUCGAUCGUAACGAACUUAAAAGUUUGUGGUUUAAAAAGCUCUAGCCUUUGAUAUGCCUCUAUAUAGCAAAAGAAAUGGAAGGCAAUAAAAUUCAAGUUUCUCACUAACUUUCAAUAACUUUCAUAUUUGGGAGAAUCAGAGUAGUAACAAUCACAAUAUCACAUAACCCCAGAAGUAGAACCCAACACAGAAUUGCUCAAAACAAAAAUUCCAAACAAAAUCUACUGUUUCAGCAAAAACAAAACAGUCGUUGAUUAUUUGGGAGAAUCAGAGUAGUAACAAUCACAACUAACAGCCGUUGGCUGUAGAGAUAAGAUACAAUAAUCAAAUCUCUACAAGCUUCGACCAUGGCAACUAUCAACAGUACAACUAUCCAGCUCAAACCUAAACCAAAAUAAUAUAAAGCUUUUACCUAAAAAAUAAAUGUCACAGCAUCAAAAAUAAAUGUCAUACUUUCUUUUAUACCUUUUACCUAAAAAAUGCUGGGAAGAUGGUCUAGAAAAAGGUGAACAAAAGAAGAUUAGGACAAACACUACCCCCAUGUGAAAACAACAACAGCUUUUGCAAUCGAAAAAAAAAGAAAGAAAAUGACAAUGGCUUCCUACUGACAACAGUUUUAACAGAAAAAUCAUGAUACGUCAAAGGAAGGAAGUUAAUAUCCGAGAUAUACUAACAUACCCCUCAGCUUUCCUAGCAGUACUUAUGAGAGCUCGCCAAGCAGUCAGAGAAGCAAAAGGAAUGGCACUGGCUUCCUAGAAUCACAUAGUAAGAUCAAGGUUCUAAAAAACAUUAGCGCUAGUCAGGUGGUGGGCUAGCACCUAGCGCCUAGGUGGCGUUUAGGUGAGCGCCUAGGCGGAUUUAGGUAAAUUUCUUGUAUAUCUUGUAAAUAAGUGCAUAUUGACACCUAAAAAAAAACUAUACUUGUAUGGAUAAUAAAAUAAUGAUAAAAUGCAAAUUAGGUACACUAUUUCCAUAAGUAUUGGAUGAACUUGUAGUAAAUCCAUCAUUUGCAAAUUAGAUACACCAUUUCCAUAAGUAUACCACCAUGAAACCAAAAAAGAAAAAAAGCACGCAAUUAAUAAAAAUAAAAAAAUAAAAAACUCCCUAGGACCGCCUAGGACCGCCUUGCCCGCCAAGCCACCCAGCCCGCCUAGGCGCCACCUAGGCCCAACCCGAUUUUUCCGCGCAAUUUGCCCAAAAACGUCUUGGUUGCUAGGUGCCCAGCGCCUAGGCGGCCGCCUAGGGCGUUUUUUAGAACACUAAGUAAGAUAAAGCCAAAUUGAGUUGUCAGACAACAAUAACCGGAAUAUGAAUUUAAAAACUCUCAUCUACAUGACAACAUCUCACCAUGAAAUCCUAAUGUAUACAUAAAUCAUGAAAGAAUUGAUAACAUGAUAUAUUAUGUUCAUAUUGCAUCAUAUGCAUGGAAUUUCACAAAUCACCACUUUAAAUAUUUUUUNNNNNNNNNNNNNNNNNNNNNNNNNNNNNNNNNNNNNNNNNNNNNNNNNNNNNNNNNNNNNNNNNNNNNNNNNNNNNNNNNNNNNNNNNNNNNNNNNNNNNNNNNNNNNNNNNNNNNNNNNNNNNNNNNNNNNNNNNNNNNNNNNNNNNNNNNNNNNNNNNNNNNNNNNNNNNNNNNNNNNNNNNNNNNNNNNNNNNNNNNNNNNNNNNNNNNNNNNNNNNNNNNNNNNNNNNNNNNNNNNNNNNNNNNNNNNNNNNNNNNNNNNNNNNNNNNNNNNNNNNNNNNNNNNNNNNNNNNNNNNNNNNNNNNNNNNNNNNNNNNNNNNNNNNNNNNNNNNNNNNNNNNNNNNNNNNNNNNNNNNNNNNNNNNNNNNNNNNNNNNNNNNNNNNNNNNNNNNNNNNNNNNNNNNNNNNNNNNNNNNNNNNNNNNNNNNNNNNNNNNNNNNNNNNNNNNNNNNNNNNNNNNNNNNNNNNNNNNNNNNNNNNNNNNNNNNNNNNNNNAACUUUCGGAAAUCGAAUUGUACAAUUCAACCAAACUGUUGGGUAGAUUCCAGCAUAAUUCUUGAUUGGUUUGUGUGAAUUAGAAAUUAAUCAGGAGUAUCGUAAUGCGGUUUCAUACACUGUAGUUUCGAUUCAUUACUUCACAUUGUUCCCUUCCCUUCUCCUCAUGGCAUGGUAAUAUAGAAUGGUAAUGCAUGAUAGUAGUAGAUUUAUAUUUCAUUUGUCACUUUGGAAAUUCUGGUCAUUAUGCAAACGUCGCGAGGUAAAACUCAAAUGGUUUUGGUUAUGUGCUCAUUUUGCUAUCACUUUCUUAGGAUUAGGAAAGUUAUAUAUUGCAUAUGGAACCAACCGGACUGCUUCUACCUUCCAGAAAACAAGGAUGGGAUUAGCCUAACCUUAAAAGGAUAGAUUAAUGACUAAUUAAGUGGGUGUUUAAGCUUAACCCUGUCGUGAUUUUAGGAGGAAGCAACAGACUGAUAGCCGUAGGUGAUCCGAUCGCAUAGCUCGGUAACCUCAUUCCUUUAGAAAUGCAUUACCAUUCAUAUGGCCCCGGAUUAAGGGCUUUUGUUUUCCCCCUUGCCGUCCCAUUAUGAUAUAAUCUACACCAAGGGGUAUGGAAAUGAGUUAACUCUCACAAUAUGUAAAUGUGGUUCAAAUUCUUUUUUUUACGAGAAUCGAACUUAAGACUUCUCUCUUAUAAAUGAAGGGAAAUGUCACUAAAAAGGCGAUUUUUUUAACCUUGAAAUCCUUAGUUAAAACUAAAAUAAUCAAAUAUCUAUCAGUUAAAAGUUUAAGAUAUAAAGAUAAGGAAAACUAAUGAAAAAAGUUUGAAAACUUUGAGUUUUAACGAUAAGGACAAAAUAAAUGGUAAAGUGAAUAGUAUCAGGAUUGACUUUUUUGUGUGUAAAAAAAAUAUGAUUUUUCGUUGAAGUAAACAAUACCGGGAAUUUUUCGUUAAAGUUUCAUAAAGAUAUUCCGGAGUAGCAAAACAUUUGUAAGCAUGAUGAUUUUACCAACCUUGAAAGAAAAAAGGUUGAAUCAUCGAUGAUGUCGAUUUGUGGCAGGGUUAAAAGGAUGAGAAAAAGGAUAGAAAAAGAUAGGGGCGGUGGUCAAAAUUCAAAGGGCCUUUUUGCCUUUUGCUGUGCUCAACUGUACUGCACUCCCGUAUUUCAUUUGUAAGGCAGAAUCUGAUGUCAGAUUUCAUACCACAUAUGCUUCGUUUGCACAAAGAAGCCAACCUACAACUACAUCUACAAGCCAAUGAUUUUCUCAACCAAAAUUUUGAUCAAUUCUAUUAUUUUCUUUAUUAAAAAUGGGGUUGUUCUACAGUAUACUCGUGUAUGAGAUGCACUAUUAUUUGAAUGUAAUUAAAGUCUCAUCAUACUAAUCCAACCAACUGAUCCAAAAGUACAUUGUAUACGUCGAUCUAUUAUAGAAUUUUCAUCAAAAUAAAGAUAAAACUAAGAGUUAAGCUACUCGAACAAGAGAAUUGCAUUAAUUCUCUCUUCUAAAACAUCACUAUACUUGAAAAACUUGAAAACAAACUAGAUUUACAAUAUUAUUUACUUGUAAUGUGACCGAAAUGACGUCUUUUUACCUUAUAGGAAAGGUUAAACCGCACAACUAGUAGCAUAGGGCCGAUGAAGAAAACAAAACAAAACAAAACAAAAUUGCCAUUUGACCUACUCAAUAAUUAAUAACUGACAUGUCAAUGAACAUCAUUUUUAACUUUUUACACAGUUAUAUUUAAUCAUGAUCGUUGAUUUCGUUUAACUCAUUUAAUCCAAUAAUCAUAAAAAAAAAUGCGAGAUGUUAAACUAAAGAUGUGAAAAUUCACUUCCCUCGAUGAAUUGUAAUAAUUAUGAAAUACUCGUUACACAAAGCUACAAUAGUCAUACUAUAAUGUUGAACUCUUUACAAAUAAAACCAUUUUAAUUUGUAUGUGAAUAGAACAUGUAACGAGAAAAAAAGUUUUUUUUUUUUUGUUUUUUUGUUUUUGAAGAAAACGAGAAAAAAAAGUUUUAAAAGAACACAGUUAAUUGAGAAAUGAGAAAUGUUAAAAGGGAAAAGGAUUCUCGCUGGCUUAUGUGGUUGUGACCAUUCAUCGUUCAUCAUCGUGCGAUCAAUUUUCGUUCGGUAUUAUUUAUAUUUUAUUAACUUUAAAUUUUAAAUUUUGAAAUGAUUUCUGACCGCAUGAUGAUAUACGAUAAAACGGUCACGAUCACGGAAUAUUCCAUGUUAAAGAGACUCUCAAAAGCGAAAUUCCUUUAAGAACUUCCAAUCACUUUAUACUUUUGCAUAAUAUUUUAUAAUAUAAGCAUGAAAAUUACGUUAAAUUAGUCCAUAAAAAAUCUCGAUUUAAAAAAGUCUCUCUAAAUUAACUUCACUCAAAAAAAAAAAAGAGUCUCUCUAGAUAAAUUAGUAUAUUUAUUUAUUUAUUUUUAUUUUUUAUAAGUACAUCGAUAUUUUUACAUUAAGAGGAGGAGAGAUUUGGUUAAGCUACAUAAUGGACAGCCUAAUUUGAUAUCGAAUUCGUUAUUCAUAAGAUUCAAAUAUAGAACCUCUCACUUUUAAAUGAAAAAAAAAUACCGUUAAAUCGUAGUAUUGAAUGACUGAUAAAUUAGUUUGUACCUUGUAAGUUGUAACUUGUAACCUCAAGUCGCCUUGUAGUUGAAACUACUUUUUGGUUUUGUUUUUUGCUUUUUGUUUUUUGUUCCUCUCUCUCUCUCUCUCAUAAAUAUCAGUGUCCAGGGACCAAAAACCGCAUCACCCCUCUUCUCAUAACUCUUUCCCACUCCCUCUCGCCUCUCUCUUCGAAAAAAGCUCUCGACGCCCAGAGACCUCACCGCCCUCCGAUCCCUCUUCGUCUUGGUUUAUGAGGUACCUUCUCUCUCUCUCUUCAUCUCUCUCUAUCGAUAUUUCCGUUCUAUUUCUACUGUUUGAUCUCUGCGUUUUAGGUUAAAAUCUUAUUGAAAAGUUUGUAUGUUUUGAGUCACAGAUCUGGUUAUUUACCUAAAAAUCGGAUUUUUCGUGGAAAUUUUGUUUCUUUGAUUGGAUUCUUUGUUUAGGUUGGAAUUUCGUGGAGGGUUUUGCUCAAUCUUUUUGGUUGCUCUUUAUAUGUUACAUUUAUUUACUUUAUUAUUAUUUGGGUCUUUCUGGAAUUAAUCCAAAUUUGAGAUGUAUUUCUUGUUUUUCUGUUCCUUUUUCGUUUUGAUCCAGUUUCUUGUGGUGUGAAUUAGGAUGUUAAUUGUAGUGAAAUUGUAAAUCUUUUCCUUUUUGCUUGGGUGGUGGGGGUCAGGUAAAACUGAAACUUUUAGUGUUAGGUUUUGCACUUUUGCCUUUAUACAGAACGUAAAUUAUAAUUUUUGAAAGGUCUUCACAAUUGGUCUUCUUAAUAAAUUUAUCUGGGUUGUGAAGGUUAGAAAUUUAUAGCUAAAUAGUCAUUAAAUUAUACUAAUUGAGAUUUUCUGUCUUUUUGUACCUGCAGCUCGAAGGAGAGACCCACUCUUGGGUAAGUCUUCGUCAUAUUUUGUCUCAUCAGAUUUACCCUCUGUGUUCUUCGUAUAUGCUUUCAUGUUAUUCUUACGUUUCAGAAUCAAGGUUUAUCUAACUGAUAACUAUAUUGUUUGUUAAAGAAGGAACUUUUAUCAAAUUUUAGUUAGUUAUAACCUAUGACCUUUUGUAAAGACGGUAAAAUGUGUUGUUGCAUCAGCCUCUACUCAAUUAAAUGAAAUUGAUUAUGCUGGCAAUGUGAUUACAGUGGCACGCGGAUUAAAACCCGCAAACGGAAUAUUGCAGCGCCGCUGGACCCUGCAGCUUUUGCGGAUGCAGUGGUCCAGAUUUAUCUGGAUAAUGCUGGUGAUCUGGUAACAUUUAGUUAUGCAUAAAUGAUCUUAUCAUUUGUAUCUGUAUGCAUGUGCGUACUUAUUACUUAAUUAUCUGUUAAAACUAACAAGUAUCUGCUUUGUGCAGGAACUUAUUGCCAAGAGCAUUGAAUCUUCAGACCUUAACUUCUCAAGAUACGGUGACACCUUUUUUGAGGCAAGCUUCAUAAUACUCUAGGGCACUUUUUGUUUCUUGUGGAUGCUACCUUAGAUAAAGUGUUUGUGAUGUGGUAUAAAAUUGACUGGAGGAUUUACUGUAGGUUGUUUUCACUGGAGGCCGUACACAACCUGGAACAACAAAACCUGAUGAGGGGGAGCGCCACCCUUACUCUGUACUAGAGUCUGAGCCUACACGUGAACUCAUCUUGCCAUCGGUUAUCUACAUUCAGAAAAUUUUGAGGCGGAGGCCAUUUCUGAUUAAGAAUCUCGAAAAUGUUAUGCGACGAUUCCUUCAAUCGUUGGAGCUUUUUGAGGAAAAUGAAAGGAAGAAGCUGGCUAUUUUCACAGCACUUGCAUUCUCUCAGAAGCUGUCAGGACUUCCACCAGAAACGGUGUUCCAGCCAAUGCUCAAGGAUAAUCUUGUUGGCAAAGGGCUAGUUCUAUCGUUCAUUACUGAGUUUUUCAAGGAGUAUUUGAUUGAUAAUAGUCUUGAUGAUUUGAUUUCCAUUCUGAAGCGGGGUAAAGUGGAGGACAAUCUUUUGGAAUUCUUCCCUUCCGCAAAGAGAACCGAAGAGAGUUUCUCUGAGCAUUUCACGUAAGUUUGAUCUGUUAUAGAAUUUUAUUAUGGACCAGCUUGUCAGAUAAGACUCAUUUUUUGUUUUUUUAAGAUAUAGCUGAUGCUUUUGAUGUCCUGUAGUAUCUUUAUACAAUUUGGAUGACUGAGAUUCUGAAGUAGCUGCAAUCCCUGAUUUGUUCAGCCAACUGCAAUGUUUUAGUUGCUAGAUUUUGUCUUAUAGUUGAUUCAUCUUUCUGUAUGAUCUCUGAAAUAUAUUUAAGAGUUUUUGUUUUUCUCUUAAGAUAUAAAAUUAGUUGAUUUUCGUGUAGUCAUUAUCAUCAGUCAAUUUUAAUAUGAAAUUUGAUUAUGCGUUGAAAGUAUUCUUACCUAGUAGUCCCUUUGGUUUGUCACUCCAUGAUAAUACAUCUUAACGUAAAUGUUGAUGUGAUUUUUAAUUGUCAAUUGCUCAUUGAUGGGUUUCAUGUGAAGUAUGUGUUAACUUGAACAUCCAUUUUGUGAUAUUCACACCUUGUAACAAAAUGAAAAAGGUUGUUUAACUGACACAUAAUUUGGUGCUUAUUUUUUUACCAAUUUUCAGAAAGGAAGGGCUAGUUGCCUUAGUUGAGUACAACGAGAAGAAAAAUUUUCGAAGUGAAGCUUAAGGAAAUGAAAUCUGCUUUAACAACCCAGAUAACAGAGGAAACCGAUAUGUCUGAAGUCAUUGAGACUGUGAAGCAGCGUGUUAAAGACGCCAAAUUGCCCGAUGUUGAAGUUGUGCGAAUUCUGUGGGAUGUCAUUAUGGACGCUGUGCAGUGGUCUGGUAAGAACCAGCAGCAGAAUGCUAAUGCAGCUCUUCGCCAGGUAUACGUUAGUCUUAUAAUCGCUUGAUACCUAGAUAAUUUCUGUGUUCUGUGACCUGGAAUUUCAAACAAGAAACCGUAGUUAGCCUAGCAGGGGAGGGAGAUUCUCCAGCUCUACCCCUUGUUAUAUAUAUAUAUAGAGAGUUAAAAAUAGAGUGGAAAUCCAAUGGGAAACUUUCGAGUUCAUCCUUCAGCUUUUAAAGUUCAGGUUUGGCACACUCGUAAAGGGACCAAUGUAGGAGUUUAAGUAGUUAACCAUGACGAGUUAAGUUGGUAUAACUUUAAAACAAAUAAAAACAGAACUAAGAUUUUUUUAAUCUUUUGUUCAUGUAGUUCAAAGAAAGAAAUCGGUUCUUAUGUUCAUGUAGGAUAGUGAAUGACUUUGUUCUACCUAGCUAGAGUAGUAUAGAUAUAGCAUUCCAAUCUGAUGUGUUUAGGAUUUCAACUUAUUGGUUUUGUUUCUUUCAUAUUCCCAAGCUUGUUCUUUGUAGAUCUAAGGCUGUGCUUGUUUUACGCACCAUCCUCCAAAUUGAUUACUUUGAGAUAUUAGAUCACUGUAGUUUUCAGAAAUCGGUUAUUUAGUUGCUAACACCAUAGUACUUGGUGCACAUAAAUAAAUGGCUAUGGUUUAACUUAUAUACAAUACAUAUGCAGGUGAAAACAUGGGCAGAACUGCUGAACACCUUUUGCACGAAUGGGAAGCUUGAGCUGGAACUGAUGUACAAGGUUCAGAUGCAGUGCUAUGAGGAUGCUAAGCUGAUGAAGCUUUUCCCUGAUAUUGUAAAGUCCCUCUAUGACGAGGAUGUGCUUGCAGAAGACACCAUUCUCCAUUGGUUCCGCAAGGGAACAAACCCCAAGGGCAGGUAUGCUUUUUGUUUCAACUUUAAAAUAUCAGAGUUCGAUAAUCAAUGCGUUUGUUUGUUGUUUACAUCGGGUUUAUUGUGUUAUUUGUAACUGUGAAAUAACGGAAAAUGAAUGUGUGCAGGCAAACUUUUGUGAAGGCCCUGGAGCCAUUGGUGAACUGGCUGGAGGAGGCAGAAGAGGAGGAAUAGAUGCAGCUGAAGCUGUUGUUUCUGUCUGUUCAUCUGACGGACCUGUACCGCCUGCCUCGAUUAUCCUAUCAAAUCUAUCUCUCCUCCGAGAGAAUCAAACUCAUAAAUAUUCUAUAAAACCUAAUUAAGCUUAGCCCCUUUGGUGUGCCUGUUGAAUGUUGAUGACGAUGACGAUGACGACGACGACGUCGUGAGGAUGCUGCAUUAUAAAUAAUUUGAUGCUUUUGCUUUUAUUUCGUUGCACGAUGCCAUAGUAGAUUUGAUUCGAUUUUGUUCAUCACAUUUUGAUAAUUAAAUGUGGUAUGAUGCUUUUGGUUUUAUUGCUCGCUCGCUGAUGCAGAUGAUUUUCGCGCACUUAUUUUUUUCGUCUGCAUAUGUACUUUUUCCUGUGUCUUGAUGGGAUUUGGAUUCUCUCCUGAGUUGAGUUCAGUCUAUUGAGCCUUCUUAGCAAUUCACAAGACCGUUGGAUUUUGAUUUAAUGGUUACAUAUGGAGGUUUUCUAAAAGUUAUAAUAAUUGUAGCUGUAGGAUCAAAAUCUAACGGUCUGUGUGAUUUGUUCAAGAGGCUCAGCAGGCUAAGCUCAGGAGAGGAUCCAAAUCUGUCUUGAUGUAUCCGGGAGAAAAGUGUGGAAAUCACAGAACAAAAAUCCGAUGUGAUCAGGCGAUGGAUGUAUAUUUAUGUACUUGCAGCAAAUUGCGAGUUAAAAGACAAACUCAAUGCCACUUACUACUACAGUUUAAUAGUAUUCCUAUUCAUUUAUAAGCGAGAUGUCUUAUAUUAGAUUCUUGCUAACAACGAAUUUGAAUCAACAGCUCAAACCACUAUUAAGAUAUUUCUAAAUGGGCCAAAUCGAAUUGCCUAUAAACCUAUCCAUCACAGCCCCAAUUAUUUUUCUUAAAAAGGAAAAUAAAUAUAAACAGGUCCAAUUUAAUUAUUUUACUUUUUAUCGCGGUAAAAUUAAGCUUCAUUUGGUUCGUUAUUAGUAUUACUUACUGCUGCGUACAGCAUGAGGGUGGAAUACUGAACGGUGAGUAUCGUCUAUGAUCUAUCUAUGCUUCCAAUGGCGGCGUUAUCUUUGCCACCAGUGAGAGUCUACUGCAGCGGCGGCGCCGCCACACCCAACAGCAGUAUUAGUAACAACAAUUUACUCGGCAACCACGCGCUCGAUGCCGCCCACAUCCGACGAGCCGCCGAGCUGGCCGACGGAUCCGCCGGAUUCACCUCUCCCCACCCAAACUUCGGGUGCGUCAUUGCCUCCAAAUCCGGGAAAGUCGCCGGCGAGGGAUUCCUCUACGCCCAGGGCACCAAGCCCGCCGAGGUCCUUGCCGUCGACGCAGCUGGCGAUUUCUCACGCCGCGCCACUGCUUAUCUCAACAUGGAGCCCGGUGAUUGCCACGGUGACCACUCUGCCGUCUCCGCCCUCGUUCAGGUUUUGCCUUUUUCUCUUCCUUUUCAAUUUCCAACUCCCUCUGAGUCGUCUUCUAAGGGAAAAGAAAACAAUGAUUGAAUGUUGAUUUGUUUGGAUUAGGCAGGGAUUGAAAGGGUGGUGAUUGGGCUGAGGCAUCCAUUGCAGCAUUUGAGAGGGAAUGCCAUUCGGGCUUUGAGAAGUCAAGGCUUGCAAGUUGAUGUUCUUGGUGAGGACCUCAACAGUAAACUCAUUGAGGUAUUUGAUCAAUUCAAUAUGCUCAUUUCAUACCUUAGCGAAACGCUUCUUUUCGAUUCCUUGGCGAAUAGUAUAGGCAUUACGCAGGGAUCUUCUGCUCCCAGUUGAAAUAACUACGGUGUGGUUUACCAAAACAAGACUAAAACUUUUGCGUGACAUGAGUAGCAUUUGAGUUUAACAUGUCAUAUAAUUGAUCCAACACCAACAGGAAGCACGAAAAUCAUGCCUCCUUGUCAAUGCUCCAUUAAUUUGUAGAGCUGCUUCUCGAGUCCCCUUCUCCGUUCUCAAGUAUGCCAUGACUCUUGAUGGUAAGCUUUCUUUUAGGAGUAGUGUAACUUAUUACAAUAUGCAAUUCUGUAAAGAGGCCUAAAAAUUUGAAUUUAAACAAGUCUUCUGAUAGAUUAGUCAUUAGUCUUUGUUGGGUGCUAACAGGAAAAAUUGCUGCUAGCAGCGGACAUGCAGCAUGGAUCAGCAGCAAAACGUCUAGAAAUCGAGUGUUUGAACUGCGGGGUAGAAGUGAUGCAGUCAUUGUAGGAGGAAAUACAGUGCGCAAGGACAGUAAGUAUAAUUUUCUCAACUUUGUGAUUAUUCGUGUUAAUAGGAGGAAGUUCUGACUUCUUAUGUUCUAUGUUAAUUUUUGGACCAGAUCCAAGACUAACUGCAAGACAUGGUGGUGGACAUAUGCCUAUGCGGAUUGUAAUGUCACAGACUCUUGAUCUCCCAGAGGAAGCACACCUUUGGGAUACCUCUGAUGUAUCUACUAUAGUUGCAACACAGAGGGGUGCAAGAAGGCAUUUCCAGAAACAUCUUGCAUCAAAAGGAAUUGAAGUGGUGGAGUUUGACAUCUUAAACCCCAGAGAAGUAAUGGAAUACUUCCAUGAUCGUGGAUAUCUUUCACUUUUGUGGGAGUGUGGGGGGACAUUAGCUGCAGCUGCUAUUUCAUCCGGAGUAAUACAUAAGGUUUGUUUCCUCCAGCUUGUAUUUCUUUCUAUGAACUCUUGUCGAUGUUCUCCUCUUGUCUGCUUAAAACUGAUGAGUUAGGGAUGUUGUCAUAGUUGUAGUUUCUUGUAGGCUGGAGGGGUACAUAAGCUUAACCGCCGCUUAUGUUGGAGAUCCCAGAUUUUUCCUUUGUUGAAACUGGAUUUGUUAACAGGCAUUUUGCUUCUGCCACAUUCAAUGCAUUGCAGGUGUUCGCAUUUGUUGCUCCUAAAAUUAUUGGUGGAAAGAAUGCGCCAUCCCCUGUGGGUGAACUCGGGAUGGUUGAAAUGACACAAGCCUUUGACCUAAUUGAUGUCUGCUAUGAACAGGUUGGUGUGGGUUUUUGAUACUUCUUCUAGAGAUAAAUUCUUUCUACUCAUAUCCCCACUCAGUAUUCUACCGUUUGAUUGGACUUUUUAUUUUGCACUUCUGAACUUGAACCAACAGGUUGGACCUGAUAUGCUUAUAAGUGGAUUUCUUCAACCCAUACCAGAUGUGACCCCUGUUAUUCCAUCAGUUGAUGAAACAUUUGAAAUUGAUCCAACCGUGACUCCAUAUGAAUCAAGGAUCAUAUUCUUUUACAAAACAUGGGACCCAUACGGCGCUUUCUCAAAUUUUUCGCCUCACCAAAUUAAGAUGCCAGAUGACAGUGGUGAUUAUGAACCUUGGUUGAGUGUCGAGCAUUACUAUCAGGUAUUUCCUUUUGUGUAUGAAUCUGGUUUCCAUCUUACAAAACGUAGUCAUUCUCACAGAACAAUACUAACGUGUAGGCUCAGAAGUUUGUUGGGGUGGAUGAUCCUGUGGCACAAGAUUGUGUUGAAAAUAUCAAGUCUGCCAGAAGUCCGGAAGAGGCAGCACGGAUAGGAAGGUCAAUGCAGAGGAAGCGUCCUGAUUUGGUAUGGUGCAUUGUGCAUUUGAUUGGAUUUUCAGUUCAUCAAUUGUGUUGACACGUGAUGUUAGUCAUGACAUGCCAUGCUGUGGUCCUUUAUGGUUCUUAGAAUUUCUCAAUCAGAAAAAAAAUAAAAAUGAAGACAUAAAAUCAUGAUAUUAAGUGAUUAACAUCUUUUUACAUGAACCUAAGAUUUCUGCAUCCAACGUUAAAUGCAUUAAUAAUAAUAAUAAUAAUAAUAAUAAUAAUAAAUAAUGAGAAGAAGCAGAAUGAACUCAUGCUAAACCGGGAUUAUUUAACAUCAUCGGAGUGUUGACAAUUACUUUUGGUUUAUGUUGAAUUUGGUUCAAACUUGUCUUGUGUGCUAUGCAGGUAAGAUGUGAGUGGGAAAGUGUAAAGAUUGAAGUGAUGUAUAGGGCACUAAAAUGCAAGUUCUCGAUAUACCCACAUUUGAAUGCAAUGUUGCUGUCAAGUGCUGGAUGUGUUCUUGUUGAAGCAUCACCGCAUGAUCUUUUCUGGGGAGGAGGUCGGGAUGGAGAAGGGCUAAAUUAUCUGGGCAGGCUUUUAAUGCAGUUGAGAUCAGAGUUUCUUGGUGAGUCUCCUACGUCCAGUUAGAGCAUGUAAUGCGUAGUAAUAUAAUUUGUAACAAAUGAUAUAUUUGUAUUGAUUUGAUUCUCUCCUGUAACUUUAUUGUUCAUUUUGCAAUAAAGUUGCAAUUAACAGAUGACAUAGAUAUUGUGUGUGCGUGUACUGAUUCUCUCUAGGUGAUGAAGGUUCUAUCAUCAUCACCCUUCCUAAUUCCUUCUCCAUUUGGUUUUUCAAUGUCUCAAAGAGUAAUUUCACUAUUUAAAGUUAUAAAUGAUAAUAUAUAAGAAUAAACUAGAUGAAUUAAGGGAGUUUUAACAAAACACUUCCGGUACUGUUCACUUUUAACGAAAAACUACAUUUUUACUUUUAACUGGCACUAUUCACUAUACUUUUAAAAAUGGUUUUUUCGUUAAAAGAGAAGUUUUUUUGGACUUUUCGUUAGUUUUCCUAAGAAUUAAAUGAGAAAAUGAAGAUGGAUCAAGAUAUUUUUAGAGACAUGGAUUGAUAAAGACGGAUUUGUUUUUAUUUUAUUUAUUAUUUUUGUUUAGGAUUUAGAUGUCAUUUUAUUGCAGGGAAAAUUUAUCACUAAAAUUUUCAUCAAAGAGUGGGUGGAGAAAUAGGAUUUGGGGGUGGGUUUAACAUCACUAUUUCUGUUUUGAAGAAUACUUAUCUUUUUAUGUACUUUCUUUUUUUCUUGGUUGAACCUUCAUUUUUUUAACAUAUACAUUCUUUUAAAUUAUUCUAUAUCUAUUGUUCAGUAGAUGAUAUUGUGUUACAAAACUGACUUUCAUACUAAGUUUUAUACUCAUAAAUUUAUAGAAGAAGAAAAAAAAUUUAAAUACCAAAAGAAGAGUCUUGUAGUGAAAGGGUCCCACUUUAAUUGUUGCGUGGGCUUCUGAAAUUUCAGAACCGUUCCUAAGUCUACUUAGUUAUAUAUGAUUAACAAAUGGUCUACAUUAUUUGUAUACGUAACCAUAUAAGACUGCUUAAUUAUCUCUUGUAACGCAAGUAACUUAUGAAUUAUUACAAUCACGUGGGUAGGUAGCUAGGAGCUACCUAAUGAAUUUUAAUGUCAAAUGAAAAAGACACGGUUCUGGAAUUAAUUAGUAUGGAGGCAGAUUCUCUGCCCUUUCAUUUUCCGUGUCUUUCUGUUUGUGUAUUCACGGUUAAAUCACAUAUAUUUAGGUGUUGAGUUUUAUCAAAAAAGACUUCAGUGAUAUUAGAAAUGGAUGCAUGAUAUAGGAUCUCAUUCUCAAACAUAUAUAUAUAUAUAUAUAUAUAUUAUAGUCAAUUAAUAUUACAGUCUGAUGUUAUUCCUUUUCACUUGUAAGUAAAAUGUCUUAUAUUCGAAUCUCAUGGAUGGUGAAUUCGAUACCAAAUUAGGUUGCUUAUUGUAUAACUUGACUGAUCCUCCUCUCAGUGUAAAAUAUAUCCUUGUACUCAAAACAAUAUAUAUAAUAAAAUGAAGGGAAGAUGAGAUACUCAUAAAUUCAUACAGAUAUCAUGGGUAUAUUAUACAGCCAACAGGGAUAGGCUCAGGGUAUCCUUAAUCAUGUACCCAUGCCCAUGCUCAAUAAAGAUGUACCCCCCGCCCUCACAUAUAGCUAGUGGAUAUAUUAGAUAUUUUGAUAUACUUUGUGGUUGUCUUUAUUAAUUUAAAUUAUUGGGUGGAUGGAGGAUCUAGAUGAAUUAUAUAGUUCAUAGAUCAACAAUUUUUUUUUUUUAGCCAUUGAAUUGAAUAAGUUAAACAGAAUUAAGAUCAUAUACUUUGUGUUGUCUUUAUCAAAUUAAAUUAUCGGAUAGAUAGAUGAUGUAAAUGGAUCAUAGUUCAUAGAUGAUGGGACCCCCCAAUUGAAAUUUAUUUUUAAGGAAGUGAUCUUCACACAUAUUUGUUAGUUUUUCACCUUUUUUUUCUUUCUGCCAUUGAAUUGGAUAAGUUAAACAAAAUGAAGGGUUAUGAUUAAAUAUGAGUGCGUAAAAGGCUAAAUUAUUUUAGAUAUUUUGAUAUAUUUUGUGAUGUCUUUAUCAAAUUAAAUUAUCGGAUACACAAAAGACGUAGAUUGGUCAUAGUUUCAUAGAUGAUUGGAUACACUAAUAUUCUCCCCUCCCCGAAAAAUGUUGAAAUUAUUUUUAAAGUGAUUUACACACACAUUUAUUAGUUUAUCACACACUUUUUUUUUCUUUAUAGCCAUUGAGUUAAAUAAGUUAAACAAAUGGCACGGUCAUGAUUAAACAUGAGUGUGUAAAAGACUAAUAAAGUUGAUAAAUUGGAUAUUUUGAUAUACUUUAUGUUGUCUUUAUUAAAAUAAAUUAUUGGAUGGAUAGAGGACGUAGAUGAAUCAUAGUUCAUAGAUGAUGGGGAUACACUAAUAUACUCCCUCCCCGUUGAAAUUUAUUUAUAAGGAAGUGAUUUUCACACACAUUUAUUACUUUUUCUCUCACCGUUUUUUUAUUUCUAGUCAUUGAAUUGAAUAAGUUAAACAAAUGCAACGGUCAGGAUUAAACAUAGUGCAUAUAUGAUUGGAUCCACUAAUAUCUCCCCCAACCCCCCAAAAAAAAGCUGAAAUUGUUUUUAAAGAAGUGAUUUACACAUACAUUUAUUAGUUUCUCACACUUUUUUUUUCUUUCUAACCAUUGAAUUGAAUAAGUUAAACAAAUGUAACGGACUAACGGUUAUGAUUAAAACAUGAGUUUGUAAAAGACUAAAAAAGUUGAUAAAUUGGAUAUUUUGAUAUACUUUGUGUUGUUUUUAUCAAAUUAAAUUAUCGGAUGGAUAGAGGAUGUAGAUGGAUCAUAGUUCAUAGAUGAUGGGGAUUCACUAAUAUAUUCCCUCCUCGUUGAAAUUUAAUUUUAAGAAAGUGAUUUUCACACACAUUUAUUAGUUAUUCACACACCAUUUUUUUCAUUUUAGUCAUUGAAUUGAAUAAGUUAAACAAAUUCAACGGUAAGGAUUAGAAAUAAGUGUUUAAAAGACUAAAAAUGUUGAUAAAUGAAUAUUUUGAUACACUUUGUGCUGUGUUUAUUAAAUUAAAGGACACUUUGUAUGCGGUCCCUAACUAUCAAUAUUCUUUAAUUGAAAUCUUGUUAGUUUUUAGUUUUUGAUUGAGGUCCCUGACAUUAAUGUAAUAAUGUAAGUUACUAUGUUUUUAAAUUAAAAAUUAAAAAUUGAAAUUUGUAAUUGUUUAUAUUAAUGAGAUUUUAAAUAAAACCCAUAAUUUAUGGCAUUAAAAAUAAUAAAAUAUAAAUUAUACUCUCUAUUAUAUUGUGUGUGUGUGUGUACAUAUAUGUAUGGGUACAUUAACCAAAAUUAACAAAAAAAUUAUUGUACCAAAACAUGGAUACAUUCUCAAAUCAACGAAAAAGAAUGUACCCAUAUAAGUUUAAACAUGGAUUAAAAAAUUUGAAUGGAUUUUAUAUUUAAAAAGGGUACAUUUUACAUAUAACAAAUUGAUAUAUUUGAGAAUGGGUACAUUUAAGAUUAAAAAAAUUGAAAAAUUAUAUGAAUGAGUACAUUUAAGAUUAAAAAAAAAUUGAGAAUCUUUUUAUAUAUAAAAAAAACUAAUAGGUACAAACUUAAUUUAAUUUAAUUUUUUAUUAUUUUGGAAAUGUUUGAAUUGAAAAUUAAUUAGAAGUUUAAUAGAGGUGUGAGUAUUAAACCCUAAAUUAAUUACUAAUUUUUAUAUUAAAAAUUAUAUAAUAAACAUGUAAAUUCAUUAUCACAUUAAUGAUAGGGACUUGAAUCAAAAUUUGAGAACUAAUAAGGUCUUAGUCAAUGAACAAUAAGAACUAGGGACCGGAUACUAAUUUUUCCUUAAAUUAAAUUAUUGGAUGGACAGAGGACAAAGAUGGACUAGUUGAUCCAUCAAAAGCACUCAUGAGAGCACAAUAACAGAAAGACUAGGCCCCCCCCUAACCCCCCCCCCCCAAAAAAAAAAAAAAAAAAAAUCUUGCACGACAGUCAUCAUACUAUGUUAAAAAACUAGGACUUGGAUUGUCUGCCCUCCUCAUCCCAUGUCCUUUUCAUCUCCUUCUAUUUUUGUGAUCACAGUUAAGUCACGUUAACAUUUUAUAUUUCUAUUGCUUUUUGCCUUAUUAUUUCUAUAAAAAAUCAAAAUAAAAUGUUGACGUGACUUAAUUGUGACCACAUAAAUAAAAGGGUAGGAAAGGGGGUGAGACGGGGGAGGGCAUACAAUCAAGGUCCAAAACACUAUUGUCGAUAUAAUGAAAUGAUAUGACUUGAUACGAAAGAUCUUUAUGUCUUUCACGACUCUUUCUAUGCCAAGUGAAAUUCUAAGAAAGUGAUUUAUAAACAUAUUUCUUAAUUUCUCACACAUCUUUUUUUUUAGCCAGUAAAUUAGAUAAGUUAAGAUAAUCAACAAUGAUAAUUAAAUAAAAGAGUAUAAAAUGCUAAAAAAAAUGUGUAUUUGCCAUUUCUCUAUUUUUAUUUCGUUGUUAGUCACUAGUCGUAUUUUCCAUUUUAUUCAUGUUAUGAUUCACGUGUCAAUGAACGUCAAAGUCUGAAAACACCAAACAAAUAAAAGUUGAUGUGAACUCUGGGACCAUUUCCACAAUCCUAUAUAUUAUGACUUUUUUCAAGUUCUGAUUUGAUUGAUCUAUACAGUGUUGAAUAAAAUACUCGAAAUUUAAUAUAUAUAUAUAUAUAUUGUUGUAACGUUUUUAAAAUUUUAAAUAUCACAAAACUAUAUAUUUCAUUGAUGACUUUUAAAUGCCUGGUAAUGCACAAUUAAGCCUUAAAAUUUUAAUGCUAAAUGGUUUCGUUGAAAUAUUUAUUUUGAGCUUAUACAUUCCGCUUCGAAUAUAAUAUUUUGUAUUUACAUCUAUUGAGUAAGAAAAUUCUAAAUAAAAAUUUAGUUACAAUACUUAAUGUAUUUUAAUACAAUUAUUAUCUUUCAUGUGAAUUGUAGCCAAUCUCUCUAAAUACGAUUUGGCUAUUGUGACAUUUCACAUCGUCCAUGAGAGUGAUCCUUAAAUGUAUAUUUACAUCCCUACCUAGCACAAGGUCUUUUGGGAGCUCACUGGCUUCGGGUUCCGUAGGAACUCCGAAGUUAAGCAAGAAGGAGGCCAUAGCACUUCCAGGAUGGGUGACCCACUGAGAAGUUGCUCGUGAAUUCCCAAAAACAAAACUAUGAGGGAAUGAUAAGCCCAAAGCGGACAAUAUCGUGCUACAAUGGUGGAACAGGCCAGGGAUGUGGUGGACCCGGGCCGGAUGUGACAAAUGGUAUCAGAGCCAAUCCUUGGCCGGAAGUGUGUUGACGAGGACGUCGAGCCCUUAAGGGGGGGUGGAUUGUGACAUCCCACAUCGCCCAGGGGAGUGAUCCUUAAAUAUACAUUCACAUCCCUACCUGCACGAGGCAUUUUGGGAACUCACUGGCUUCGGGUUCCGUAGGAACUCCAAAGUUAAGCGAGAAGGAGGCCAGAACACUCUAGGUAGAGAUGUGAAUAUACAUUUAAGGAUCACUCCCCUGAGUGAUGUGGGAUGUCACAGCUAUAAUAUUUAUAUUUGUUUAAUAUAGUCAUCAUCUUGAUUGUCAAUAAAAGUUCAUGUAAAUACAAAUUUCAAACUCGGCAAUAGUUCAAAUAUGCUUUACACUGUCCUUCAUAAUUAGUUGUUUUAAUAAAAUGUCUUUUUUUUCAAAAAAAAAUGAAGAUAAAAUAAAAUAAAAACUCAGUAAUUGUUCAAAUAUGAAACUAAUUAAGCUAGCUAAACUUUGAGUCUAUUGCUGUUAGUUGAAGAAAUCAUUGCAAUUAACGGGAUUAUCAUGUAUAAACAAUUUUGUUUGUACCAUACUUGACCAAUCCCAAAACUACUGAGCACCGGUCAACGUUAUGCUGUCAACGACCUAGAAGAGUUUCCCUCCAACUAGGACGCCAAUCACAGCGCGACACGUGUCGAUAUCAGAAGCCAAUCAUAGCGAGAGCCAAUCACAACACAACACGUGUCAAUGUCAGAAUGAAACUAGAAACUUUCUUCUAUAAAUAUAGAUCAUUCUCUCACGAUAUUUCCGAAAGUCAUUUGUACUAAAUCAUUCACUUGUACUCACUAAAUGAGAGCUUGAACCUAUGUACUUGUGUAAACCCUUCACAAUUAAUGAGAACUCCUCUACUCCGUGGACGUAGCCAAUCUGGGUGAACCACGUACAUCUUGUGUUUGCUUCCCUUUCUCUAUCCAUUUACAUACUUAUCCAUACUAGUGACUAGAGCAAUCUAGCAAAGAUCACAAACUUAACACUUUCUAUUGUAAUAAAGUCCUCACCGAUUUGUGCAUCAACAAAUUAAAAAAAGUAAACUAAAAGUAGAUUACCAAAAACGAAGUUGUGAUGAAUAAAGUUGAAGUGAUAUGCAUAUACACAUAGGGAAAUGAAAAUAACACACCACUUUUCAUUCCCACACACUUUUGUUUACUUUUCUUUGUUUUCUCUUAAUUUAUUAAAUCAGAUAAUAAAAAAAUAAAGAUAAUGCUAAGGAAAUCAAAUUUAGAUAAAAUUUACAAACCAAAUGAUGUGUUAUAAAUAGAAAAUAAGCACGUUAAUCAAUAUUUAAAUAAUAAUUCGAUCAUCAACAUCCACAUCAUUUGAUUAAUAUAAUUUGGUUUAGAAAUUUGAUCUCCCUAGCAUUAACCAAAGAUUAAUGCAUGUGCGGUUAUCAUUAAGCUAAUUAAGGUAAUGCUAGAGAGACAAAUUUUUAAACUAAAUUUCGAGAACUAAAUGAUGUGGAUGUUGAUGAUUGAUUAACAUACUUAUUUUCUAUUGGUGACACAUUAUUAUUUGAUUUGUUAAUUUGAUUUUAAAUUUUGGUUUUCCUAACAUUAUCCUUAAACUAAACCUAGCUACAAAUUGUGGAGGUGGCAGCUAGCAAGCCUAUCAUUUAAUAUUGGGAACUUUAACGAAAAGCACCCGGUACUGUUCACUUUAACGAAAAACCACAUUUUUACACUAAAAAGUCAAUCCUGUUACUAUUCACUUUACCCUUUAUUUUGUCUUUAUCAUUAAAACUCAAAGUUUUCAAACCCUUUUCAUUAGUUUUCCUUUUAAUAUUUAUAUAACAUAACAAUAUUCGAUUUUUAUGAGGGGAGGGAGCGAGGGAUCGAGAAGCAUAUAUUGUAUGCGUACGUAGAUCGAUCCCAUAAUCUCCACGUUCAUGUUGGAAACUUGGAAGGAAUGCAUAUAUAUAUAUGUGUAUGUAUGUAUAUGUUGAUAAUUUGUAUGUAAUCUUGCAGAGAAAGCUAAACAACGAAAUUCAAGUAAUUUGUAUGUAAUCUUGCAGAGAAAAGCUAAACAACGAAAUUCAAGAGAGAGAAAGCUAGAGAGAGAGAGAGAGAGAGAGGAAAAUUUUGUUUCGACUGAAUUUCAUUCAAUAUAAUAAUUACAACAGAAUGUCCGAAUUGGUCGAGCGGUUGUAAAAGUUUGUAUGCACAUGUGUGUGUGUAUUUAUAUAUAUUUGACGAGUAGAAUUACACAUGGUACUGUGCCUGUGUGCCAUGCAUAUUGCAUUCCAUGUCUGUACAAAAUAGGGAAUUAUUAGAAGGCAGUGAGGAAGUAGGAUUAUUUUCCCCCUAUUCUUAUUUUCUUUCCUCUUUCUCUAUAUUAUUUUAUAUUUUAUUAUCUUUAUAAAAAAUUAAUAUAAAAUGUUCUUAUUUUCUUUCCUCUUUCUCUAUAUUAUUUUAUAUUUUAUUAUCUUUAUAAAAAAUUAAUAUAAAAUGUUGAUAUGACUAAACUGAAAUCGUUCAAAGUAAAAAAAAAAAAAAGGAAAAAAAGAUUAGAUGGGAGGUCCGUAGCUGAGCUGCUUGCUGAGGGAGAAGUGAGAGUCAGAGUGGCCCACGUAGAAAUGACGAGGAUGUUCACAUUUCUAAGUAGAUUCCUAACAUGCAUGCUCUUCAUAUUAUUUGUUUUCUGUCUGAAAUACAUAUAUUUAUGUAAACAUAUGCCUCCACACACACAUUGAAACUCUCAAAUCCAAUCCAUUUUUAAUCCUCUCAAAAUCCUUUUGUAUCUACUUAAUAUUAGUCUGUGUCUAUAUAUAUAGCCAAUUUUGGAUUGGACAUCACUCAAAAGCAUCUUUGUAUAUAUAAUGAUUUGGACAUCACUUAACUUGCACGAACAUAUAUUAUAUAUAUAGGGGUAUGAUAUCCACAAAACCCAAUUUACUUCUCACACACCUUUCUAAUUUUCGACCGUCGGAUCGGAUGAAUUGAAGAAGAUCAACGGAUAGAAAUUAACAAAGGUGUGUGAGAAGUAAUUUGGGGGGUAUGGAUAACACACCUCUGUAUAUAAUGAGUGUGUAACGUGGGAGGGAAAACCACAUUAUUGUCCUAGAAAUCAGGGUUUCUUGAUCCUUAUUAUGUAUGAUCUGUACACAAAGCUGUCGAGAUUAUAGGUAAAAUGUAAUAACCCGCAUGCAUUAAGCGAGGUAUUAAACUAAAAACUUGUGGAAUAUUACGCCCAAAAACUCCUUCCAAUGAGUUGAGUUGAGUUGGGUCAAUCAACUGCACAAAUCCAGUUUUCUUAUUCAAACAAUAUGUCUGAAUCCUGAUGAUAAAUGUAUGUCUCAUGUCUGUAUAUUAAUUCUAUAUACCAGACAAGACAUCUAAAAAUCUGCAAUAAACUAACUGUGUAAUGUGUGUGGAAAUACAUUGUUUUAGGCCAUUUUCUACCAAUAACAAUUUUACCAUACAAAUCAUCUCAAAAAUUACAACUCUAUGAUUUCUUUUUAUCAAAUUGUUAAUUUUUUUUCAUCUUUAUCAUAUCUUACAUUUAAUUUUGAGCAAAAUGAAUAUCAUGGAUGAAAACGAGUAAAAUGAGAAUUGCAAAUUCAAAGAGGAGCGACUAAGUAUCAUGCAAUAAAUUAAUUAUGUGGCGGUACGACUGCCACAUUAAAUUUUAUUGAUGGCUAAAUCAAAUUGUUCACUUUCUACAGAUUUUUGUUCUUUAAUUUCUGGUUCUUCAAAUUUAGUUUAGUAGUUGUUUGUUGCAUUCGCUCUGUUUUUCGGUUUCUCUCUCGGGAAGUCAGGGCGUAUUGUAAGAGCGGGUAUUUUUGCAAUCUUUUAUAAUUCAGUUGCUGUUGGUGGUUGCGAUUAUUUCUCACUUCGAAAGACUCUCUCUUUUCCUUUCUCCUUCUAUCUCUCCUUGAUGUUUUUCUCUCUCUAAAAUUGGCUCUGUAUCCACUUCCUCCCUUCUGAUAACGUUCACGAAGAUGCUUGCUUUAUGCAGAGCCGUGACUUGAGCUGCCUGCUCUGCCCAUUCUCUCUCUGCAGCUCUGCUGUGAUUUUGGCAUUUUCUUCUUUUGGAUUCGUAGAAUUCGAGCUUGAUCUGGGAAAGGAAGGACAACCCAUUGGGGUCGUGCAAUUGGAGAGCUUUCUAGCCGGAUUCGGGGACAAUGAUUCGUGGUGAAAAAGUUGGUAUUCUGAAUUGGAUCUUCUUACAUAGAUCUGCUUUCCUGAUCUGAAAAGGGAAGAGAGAAAUAGAGAGGGGGUUAUUGAAAGAGAAAAGUGUUUUCCUUUCCUGGAAAAGGGAAAAAUUCAAGUGCUUGCUGGGGAAUUCUGUAGCAAUUUGGUCGCAGAUUGUAAUUAAGGUGGAUUAAUCUGAUCAAAAGUGAGUGAAUUUAGUGGAUUGAUUUGGAUGGUUAAUCAAAGGCCGUGAAAUUGAAGGGCGUUGGGGGUUAUUUGCGACAGUUUGCGACGACGGAUCCGUCAAUAAAAAAGAGUGCGGGGUUGUAUUGCUCAUCAGCUGGUCUGGAGUGCCUACUAAACAUUAUCAGGGCCCUGAGAAUGGGUUCCUGCUUGUCUGUAGAAAGCAGGAGCCCUCUGCCCAAUUCGCCGUCGUCUCCCUCCUAUGAAGUCCGGCGGCGGAAGAGCUCUAAGAAGAGAGUGGGGUCGAGAAAUUCGUCCUUCGAUUACCGCCGGGAAGAACAGCUGCACAGAAUUCCCGGGAGAAUGUUUCUCAAUGGGUCCAGUGAAGCUGCAUCUUUGUUUACCCAGCAGGGCAAGAAAGGAACCAAUCAGGAUGCCAUGAUUGUUUGGGAGGUAAAAUGUAUUCUUUUUUCUUUUUCUGCAGCCUUAUUGAUAUAUUUACGGAUUCAUCAAUUUUAAAUCUGCAUGAAAAAUCCAAGUGUGCAAAUUUUUAUUUUUUGUAUUAUGAUCAAUUCAGCUGAAAGAAAUUGUACUUCCUGUAGUUCUACUUCAAGAAAGGAAAAACCAUUUUCUAUUAGUUGGCUGCGGUUUUUCCACCCUUUUUGCCCAAGGAAAUUAUCCAGACUAGCAAAACUUACUUCUGUGUUGGCAGUUGAAUUCUUUGUUUAAUCAUUUUCCUCAGCUAUUACAAGUCGUUUGCAGAGCAAAUUGGCUCACCUUCAUUGUCAAUGUGUUUAUUACUUUACGUGGACGGAUUCUGGCAUGCAUUAACCUUCGCUUCAGAUAGUUUGAUCCUUGUUUUCUUGUAUCCGUGUUUUUAAACUUAUAUAUUUUGUAUCACUGUUUGAUCCUUGUUCUCUGAAUGUUACGUUUUGAGAUUUUGCUGUGAUAUAUGUAUCUUAAGAGGAAACAUAUCCAGGGGUGAACAAUGUUAUUAUUGUCUAAAUCUUUUAAAUAUGAAUUUCAGAAUUUCUGUUCGAGAACAGACACAGUUUUCUGUGGUGUUUUCGAUGGGCACGGUCCAUUUGGUCAUAUGGUUGCUAAAAGAGUGAGGGACUCUCUUCCUCUGAAAUUGAGUGCAAACUGGGAAGUGAAAAUUACCAAUGAUGAAGUUCUCAAAGGGAUCAGCCUCAACACUGCAGGAAGCUUGAAUUCAGAUGAUACUGCUUUUGUAUCUGUUGAUGAAGAUCUCAGGCCCUCCGUGGAUGUUGACGAAACAGAAAAAAACCCUGAGAUCCUUCAGGCACUGAGAGAGUCAUUUCUGAAGGCUUUCAAAGUUAUGGACAGGGAGCUGCGAACAACACCAAGUAUCGAUUGCUUUUGUAGUGGGACAACAGCGGUAACUUUGAUUAAACAGGUGCUUUCAUAUCCUUUGCAAACUUGUUCUAAUUUUUUUUUUUUUGGGUGAUAUGCUCAUCUUGAUCAUGCAUGUAUUGGCGUGUUUCUUAGGGUCGGGAUUUAUUCAUUGGAAAUGUUGGGGACUCCAGAGCCGUUCUGUGCACGAGAGAUAGAGAUGACACUCUAAGUGCAAUUCAGUUGACUGUGGAUCUCAAACCAAGUCUUCCAGGUAUCACUCUUUCUCUCUUCUUCGCUUCUCCUUUCUCCUUUCUUGUAAUAGUUUUCAGUUUGCUAGUUUUCAAAUUUGGUUUAUGAUUUUGGCAGGACCUGAUCUGGUCAAAUUUCUAAUGAUGCUCGAUACAUGAAAAAAAUAUAUUUCAUAUCUGAACAUCUUCUUAACAACACAACAAAGAGUUUUGGGAACUUCAAUCACACCCCGACAUGAAUAUUUUUUAAACUAUAAUUCUACGCCAAAAUAAACACUCGUUAUUUUGUUUUGUCAUGCUUCGUUAGUUUCUGGAUUUAUAUAUGAAACUUGGGACCAGAAUUAAAGAAAUAAUUUCUCAUAAAUGAUAGAAAGUGAAUUUUCCUGGUACAUUGGAUAAUGGCUUUCAUCUACCUGCAAUAGUAAACAGGGAAUGCUCUGUGGUCAACUGUGGUCUGCUUGCUAGCUUCUUGUGAUUAAAUUGUUUCUUAGUUCUUACCUGCUUUUUCCCUAAUUCUUCCUCACUAACAGCGGAAGCAGAGAGAAUACGGAAGUGUAGAGGGCGCGUUUUUGCUCUUCAGGAUGAACCUGAGGUUGCUCGAGUCUGGCUGCCAAACAAUGACUCUCCUGGUCUUGCCAUGGCACGUGCUUUUGGAGAUUUCUGCCUCAAGGAUUUCGGCCUCAUCUCUGUGCCAGAUGUAUCCUAUCGGCGUCUCACAGAGAAGGAUGAAUUUAUAGUCCUGGCGACAGAUGGGGUACGUAGCCAGCUAAUUUUAAGCUAUUUUCUAAAGAGACCCUUCCCCCCUCCUAUUCUUCCUUGUGCUCUUCGAAUCUAAGAUUAAAACUUUUUUGGCAGAUUUGGGAUGUUCUCUCUAACAAAGAAGUGGUAGAUGUUAUAGCAACAGCCCCUGCACGUCCUUCUGCAGCUCAAGCACUGGUAGAGACAGCAGUUAGAGCGUGGAGACAGAAGUACCCAACUUCCAAAGUAGAUGACUGUGCUGUAGUUUGUCUCUUCCUUGACUUAGACUCAAACAUAGUAUCAACUGCUGCUAAUAACGGGUCAAAUGAGAAGGAGCAGCCUACUACAGCAGAUGAGGUAAAUGCUGAAGAUCUCUCGGAGACAGCUUCUUUGGUCCGCUCGGGGACUGUCCGAACUGCCGAAGAGAUCCUUGCAGAUGAGGAAGAAGACGAAGAGGACGAAGAAGAUGAUGAAGAAGAAGGAGGAAGAAAGGAGAAUGCUGCAGAGGAAAUGAAUUCGGAACCAGGUGUAGAGUGGUCAGCCUUGGAAGGAGUUUCUCGGGUGAACACAUUAUUGAAUCUGCCCAGGUUUACGCCCACAAAAGAAGACAAGAAGGUGUGGAAGAAGGUUUGAAUUCCCCUGUUUCUUUCUCAUAUCAUAUAUUGAUAUCAUAAUUGUUUUGUAUUAUUUAUUCUUUUGCUUUGUCUAUGGUAUUCUACAACACAUAUGUAGGGUGAAAUGAAAGUUAAAAUUUUGACUGGAGAGGUGGUGUGAGGGAUCCUCCCGACUAUAUUAGCAAUGUCUGGGGAGAUUGGAAUAUUUUUUUGUGUAAAAAUCCAACUCUCCGACUCUUUUUUCUUUCUUUGUUUUGAAGAAAUUCAUGAACUUCGACACGUGGAUAAUAAUUUUGUGAGAAUGAAUGAAUGAAGUUUCAUCUUAGUUUUCAACUUGAAUUGUCUUGUUUUUGUAUUUGAAGAAGUGCCUGUCAUGUUCAGAUGUGGAGUAAUAUGUACAUAUUUGCAAUUGUAAUGUUGCCCCAGUUGCAACUUGCAAACAAGAUAUUUAUAAGCUACUUGAUUAGCUUUUCUUGUUAGUAGAAAGUUGUGUGUUCACUGUGUUGUCGGUUAGUUUUGAGUUUUGAAUUUGCAUUUAAUUUGGUAAUUGUUUGGUGGAGAUAAAUGUAGUGUGCAUAUAUACUCCCGAGAUUUUUCUAGUAUGUUCUGGAGUAUUCCAUACACUGAGGUUUUCAGCCGUUAGAGUCUUAGUCGAAGAUUCAAUGAUCAAAUAUCUAACGGUAAAAAAUCCUAGUGUACAAGAGAUUCUGGAUCAAACUUUGUUCAUAUACUCCCUCCCUUGUGGUAGUUCACUAGUCGGCAACUUGGCACCAUCCAAGUUGCCCUAAAGUUAAGUUGGUGGGCUGUUGAUGUUAUUCAUUGAUUCCUUUUGACUUUAGGGGCCAACGGCAAAGCUUUGUAUUUUCAGAAUAUCUUUGUCAUAAUCUAAACCCUGAAUAGUAGCAUUCAUUCAUCAGGACCAUCACUGAACUGACCUUAAGCAACCAAAUUAAGCACAACACAAAUUGAAUUUUCCAGAAAGAUACUACAUAUAUAUAUAUAUUAUGGUGAGGAUUGAUUGGAAUCUGUUUAUACAACGACAACGUCGGUACUUGACUUGAGAGAGAUAUUAUGAUGGAGGGUUGUUUUCAAUGGUUUAAUUAAUGUUGAGGAAUUAAAUUUGAUUUGCAAAAGAAGAUUAUGUCCGUCUCACUCACAAAUAAUGAAACUAAUAACCAGAAGAUAUUUCCUAGAUUUUAUCGUGGAAAACAUCAUAUGUGCAUUAAUUGGCUUGAGGUUAAAAGGAAGGGAGGGCAAGACUAGCGUGUUUUCCAGUUGUUAUGGGACCUCUUUUUGGUUUCUGUUUCUUUUUUGUUUUCCUGCAUUGAUCCAAAAAAGAAGAGAGAAUAUGAAAUUCUUGGUUGAAACUCAAUGAAGAUUAUAAGUUGAAACUCAAUGUAGUACUCUUUCAACAAAUGGAAAUAUAGAGAACGAAAGGAAAAUGUGAUGAAAAGUGAAAAGUGAACAUUGAAAAAUGAAAAUGAAAUGGUAGCUGCUUGAGCUUGGUCGAUGUCGUCGUAUUAUUGUCAGUCAAAUGCGUUUUCCGCCCACAAAGCGUUGGAAGAAGUCGAGUGCCUCCCGCGGCUUGUACUCUGGGACGGUGUGUCCAGCUCCCUGCAUAUGUUUACAGAUUUAUCGUUAAUUUUGAAGGAAAGAAACAUCUAUAUAUAGCAAUAUUAAUGUAUACAGUAGAGGGACUAGAGACCUUGAUGGUGAGAAAGGUGAGGCUGUUGGCAUAUCCUUGUAAGUAGCCGGCAACUUGGUUGUCAGAGGAGAACCAAGGUCUCCAUUCAUCUACAAUCUCAUAUCCAAGUGAUGCAGUCCAUGCCUCGCUCCCAGUGUACGGAACACACAUAUCAUGGUCUCCACUGCAACAUUAAUUGUUUUAUUAAUUAGCUUAAUCCAUAUACAUUUCACUUUAACUUGAUUAAUUAGGACUUGAUCAAUCUGUUAAUAUAUUAUUAAAUACCUGUAAAUAAGGGCUCUGUAACCUUGGGUUGUAAGGUUUUGGUGGUAAGGGAUCAUGCUUCCAGCAUCGCGUGAAUAACUUAUUCUAUCUGUGCAUAACUCCCAUGGACCAGCCACACUUUCCUGUCAUACGUCAUUCACUCAUUCAUUCAUUCAUUCAUUCUUUCUUUCUUUUAAUUAGAUCAUUAAGCAGAAAAAGAAAAAUCAAGCAAGCUUACUGGUUGUGCAUGAAUUGCUUCCCUAACUUUUGGAGUGUUCAGCCAUAGCGUUGCAACUUCAUCAUUCUGAAGAGAAAUUAUUUAAUAUCCAAAUUAAUUACUGAAAAAUUAAUCUAAUCUAAUCUAAUUAAAAUUGAGUUUUAAGAGUAACCUACGAUACAAGGAACACCAGAAUCCAGUGUCUUUGCGAGCUGAGGCCAUGAUGGGACAAUGCCGUCUUCUACGUUUGCUCGAAAAGGCCAAGCUCGGCCAAACAUCCUUUUCCUCACUCCCAGAGGCUUCUCUGUCGUCUUCCCCAAUUGCUGAAAGCUUAACGGUAAGCUGCUUGUUUUAUUUUCUUUGGAAUUUUUGUUAUUAUCAGCUCCGGGGCCAUGGUAACAAGGUUCAAGGAUGUCGUAGAGGUUUAGUUCGUCAAGAGCCUAAUUAAUCAAAUAGUUGUGUCCAGAUUACAGUUAACAAUGUGACAAGUUCGAAUCUAAUUAAAUUGAAUAAAAGAGCUAGAAUUGCACCCUGUCAAGUGGUUGAAAUUUUUCUUGGCAUAGACUACGAUUGGAAGGAGGAACAUUAAGGAGGUCAGUACCACAUGUGGCAACAACUUCCUGCAACAUAGAGGCAUCUCAGAUAUUUGCCUCACACAAACUUCUGACAGUGGAAAUUCAGCAAGGAAAACCGAAAACGAAGACAUAAUGUGUGUGAGUUAACUAAUUGAUCAGUACUCUAGCCAGCUAGCUACCUGAAAGAUUUUUUCUGAAAUGAGAGCCAUCCCAUGAGCAAAUGGGACUAAAGCAUUGGCAUCGAAUCUUCGGUCUGUGACUCCAUUCCCCACCAGGUAACCCUGAUUACACACAUUACAAGUUUAACUACAAUUAACGCGAUGAAACGAAUCAGUUUAUGUAGCUUAAUUUUCUCAAGUCGACUUGACAGAAUACGCACCUUGAGAUUUAGAGUUGGUUUUGUUCCUUUGUUUAUACCUAUACAUAUAUAUAUGGAGAAAAUACAGUACAUAGUUACACACCAGAAAUUAAAUCCAACAAAUACAUUAUACACAUAUGCAAUUCGAGUAAUGUUGUAUUUAUAUAAAUACAUAUAAAUUAAUUAGCUACCUUUUGCAAUUUGAGAAGCAAGAGUUGGUACGUAGACUCCAGCAUAAGACUCUCCCGAAAUAUAAAACGGAUUUGGUUGAAACUCUGGGAAUUGCUGAAACCACUGUGAUUGCAUAAACAAUACAGAAUUCUUAGCAACAAAAUAGAAGAAACAAACGAAAAAGAAAAGGGAGAUUUUGGAUGCGGUCCUUAGUUAUGAAUAUUCUUUGAUUGAAACCUUAUUGGUUUUUAAUUUUUGAUCGAGAUCCCUGAAAUUAAUAUGAUAAUUUAUUUCUAUGUACGUUACUAUAUUUUUUAAAUUAAAAAUUAGAAAUUUUAGUUGUUUAUAUAAAUGAGAUUUUAAAUAAAAAAACCAUAAUUUGGGGGAUUAAAAAUAUUAAAAUAUAAAUAUACUAUUGUGUGUGUGUGUGUGUGUGUGUAAACAUGGGUACAUUCAUCAAGAUUAACCAAAAAAUUUAUUGUAUCAAAAAAUGGGUACAUUCUUCAAAAUCACAAAAAAAAAAGAAGAUAUUAAGCUUAAUAACAUUAGUAAAUUUCUUCGAUUAAACUUGACAUUGAUACAUUUUAAAAUCAAAGAAAAAAGAAUGUACCCAUAUAAGUUUAAAAAUAGAUUAGAAAAAAAUUGAAUAGAUUUUAUAUAAAAAAAUGGUACAUUUUACAUAUAACAAAUUGGUAUAUUUAAGAAUGAGUACAUUUUAAGAUUAAAAAGUUUUACAUGAAUGGGUACAUAUAAUUAGCAGGGGUACAUUUAGCAAAAUAAAAAGUACAAAUAAAAAAAAUAUGGGUACAAAUACAAAUAAACUUUAAAAAAUAUGGGCACAAAAAGAAAUUAAUAUAUGAGUACAAAUUAAAACUGAAAAGAAAAUUGGUACAAAUUAAAAAUGUCACAUCCCGGCCCGGGAUCCACCACAUCUCAGGCCCGCUCCACCACCAUAGCACGAUAUUGUCCGCUUUGGGCCCCGACUAUGCCCCUCAUGGUUUUGUUUCUAGGAACUUAGACGAGAACUUCCUGGUGGGUCACCCAUCAUGGGAUUGCUCUUGUGCGCUACUCGUUUAACUUCGGAGUUCCUACGGAACUCGAGCCAGUAAGCUCCCAAAAAGUCUCGUGCUAGAUAUGGAUGAAAAUACACAUUUAAGGAUCACUCACAUGAGCGAUUUGGGAUGUAACAAUAUGUUUAUUUAUGAAUAUUUUCUCCUAAUCAUUACUCUUGUAAUCAAUAACUGACUUUCGUCACCCUCAGGUGUCGGCCAGCACGUGCCUAUCCGUGUAUUCAGAGAAUAUCAGGAUCGAGACGUGUCAUAUUGGUAUCAGCAGCGAAAGCGUGGUCGGGGCCCAAAACGGACAAUAUCGUGCUACAGUGGUGGAGCGGGCCCGGGAAGUGGUUUGCCCCCGGGCGGGGAUGUGACAAAUGGUAUAAGAGCCAAUCCCUAGCUGAAAGUGUGCCGACGAGGACGACGGGCCCCUAAGGGGGGUGGAUUGUUACAUCCCACAUCGCCCAUGGAAGUGAUCCUUAAAUGUAUAUUCUCAUCCAUGGGCGAUGUGGGAUGUAACAAUCCUUAAAAUACAGUAACAUUUUAAACAUUAAAUGAAUAUAUUUAGAAAUAAAAAAUUAUUUUAUUAUUGAAAUAAUUAAUGAUAUUAUUAAUAUCCAAGAACUUUGAUAAAAAAUUGAAAAAAAAAAAUAUUUUAAUCAAUGGAGUAGUAAAACAAAGGAUGAGAACCUAAUUUAUCCAAAAGAAAAUGUAUAGCAUCACAGGACAACAUUUUUAAUCCCCUUUAUAAUCAAUAAGCAUAUGAUGAUCUGUAAUAUGAUAUUGAGGAGUAUAUUAAUUAAUUAGAAAAAAACAGAUUAAUUACCCGGAGGAGAAAGGCAUGGGUAUCAAGAGCAGUCUGGAUAUCCCCAGUGGUAUAUUUGGUUUGGUUUCGAGAGUAAGAAAAAUCCAACACCAGCAGGAGAAUCCAAAUAAAAUUAUGUUGGAAACCUGAUAAUUAAUUAAUUAAUUGGUUAUUAAAUUAUGCCCAAUACUAAAAAAUAAAGAUGAUAAAAAUUAGUAAGGGGAAAACAUGGUAGGCUUUCUAUAUAAAUAAUGUUUAAUUAGAUCUACCUUGGACCAGCUAUAAGGAUUAAGAUGCAAAACAGGCAAUGCUCCUUUAGGUUUUCCUUCUGCAAAAUUGAAUGGUCCUACAUAUAUACAUAAUACAUAAUUAAUCAAGUAAAUUAACCUAAAAAUAUGAUCUCAUUUUCAAAGUUAAUGAUGUCACAUCAAUUUUUGGCCAAGGAAUGAUAAGAUUUUGUCACAUGUUGCAUAUUCUAGAUGAUGGUGUCAAGGAGUUUCAUAUGAUUAACAUCUAGUAGUGGCUUUUUAUUUUUUGUGGUUAUAUUCAAAAUAAAUUAGCAGACAACAAGAAAAGACAACAAUUCAAUUAUGUGUGGUGCCAAUCUGCGUACAGCUGAAAUGGACAACACACUUACACGUGUUUAGAGUUAUCUGUGAUUGUGUUUCCAACACAUAUUAAUAUGCCUUACUCCGGCCCAGCAACAAAGAUUGAAAGCGCCGAUCUUCCCGUGCCAAACUCAGGAGUCAGAGGUAAACAAAAUUUUUUUCAAAUUUUGUAUGGUUUACGAGAAAAUUUUAUGGUUUUCCCCUUUAACUCUAAAUACCCAAUUUUUUGAGGUAAAAAAGGAAGAAAAUUGCCUAGUAAUCGUCGGGAUCUUGCCCAAUAGCAAUCGUCAGGGACCUGUUAGAUAAGCUUUUCUUUAAUUUCCUAAUCUUAAUGUUAUUAAAACUGUCAAUGAUUCAUAAAUUGGGUGCUUCAGUUCUUUGUUUGAUGAUUAUAAAGUUUAUAGUUAAUUACGCAUCAUUGGUUGCAAUAAUCAGUAAUUUGCCCAGAAACUAUUUGUGAAAAUGUUUCAAAGGCAAUGCUUGUAUUUAUUUUUUUUAUCGUGUAAAGGUUAAAUUGUUGCGGAAAUUUGCAUGUAAUGAUUAGGAUUGCAAGAAAACCGGUGAGUUACCAUGUUAGGAAGUGCGCGUGUUCGGCUGAACCGGUGGCAGCAGGCGGCUGUGGCGGUCGGUUCGGCUGUGGGCGCAUUGCUGGACCCAAGAAGAGCUGAUCUCAUAGCAGCUCUUGGAGAGACAACUGGGAAACCUGCAUUUGAAAGAGUUCUUGAAAGAAUGACGAGGAGCCCUGAAGGCAGGGUAGGCCUCUUCUGUCCUCACCCUUCUUGUUUAGUGAUUACAAUUCUUAAUCAAAUAACAUGUUAUGCGUUUAAGUAGUUGUUCGCCAAAAAAACUUUCUCGUAAUUAUGCACGGAGUUUCUGCUUAAGCUAUCUGAGUUAUGUUUUGUUAAUGAAGGUGUUGGGAGUUUCGGGUUAUUUGAGUCCAUAGCAUGUUUCUUUGAAAGUCUGCUUGAGGGAAGUCAUAUAUGAACUGAACAUUUUUUCUGUUAACAGCGGCAAGGGAAUCGUGAAAAUUGCUACCUGGGUUAUAUCCAUUUCUGGUCAAUUGAAGUCAUAUAUCAGUCUUUCGUGUAAAAUUGGCUAAAUAUUGUUCUUGUUGUUGUCGAGUAUUGAGUGCUGCUGCUCUUAGUUUAGAUAGGUGAUAGCUAAUGCAAACUGAAGUCAUAUAUUCUUCUUCCACUGCAGUAUAAAUAAUUGGUGUUCUUUUAUAGUGUUACUUAUAAUGUGCUUCUAAUUGAACUAUUCUUCUCAUGUAAACUGUUUUGCGUUGUUUUUGCCACCCGUAUAACGAACUAAGAAUGGCUAUUGCUCGAGAUAUCUAAAUUUUAUGGAAUCAGUACUUGAAAGCCAUUUGGUUGCUGGUAUGCAAUGAAAUCCUAUUUUGUCAACGGUUUUGCUUUGUUAUUCUAAGACCAAUGCAUUUCUUUCUUUACCAGGCCAUACUGUUGGAGAAACCCCGUGUAAUAUCUGUAAACGUGGGUCAUGCAUGGGAUCUACCAGCGAACACAUUUGGUGCUGCCUAUGCAAAGUUCAUGGGAUCUAGGAACUUCUCGCCAGAUGAUCGACCACCAGUGCGGUUCAUGGAGACAGAUGAGCUUGCAUAUGUGGCCAUGAGGGCUCGCGAGGUGCAUGACUUUUGGCACACCCUUUUUGGCCUUCCAACGAACUUGAUGGGGGAGUCGGCCCUCAAGGUAAUAGAGUUUGAGCAAAUGUACCUUCCCAUGUGCCUGAUGUCCGUCAUAGGGGCUCAGUGAGAUUCAACGAGAAGCAAAGGAAAUUGUUCUUUCAACACUACUUCCCUUGGGCCAUCCCAAGCUGGAAUGCAGUGCACGGAUCUCAUGUGCGUGUAUUACGAGCGGCACUUUCACGAGGAUUUGGAGGACGUUCGGAGAAAGUGGGGUAUAAUUCCUGCCCCUGCUCCUCCUAAACAAGCCUGACCAUCAGCAGCCUCAGCUUGUUUGGCGGAGAGACUGUAAAUUUCUCGAGCACAAUGUACCCAUUAACUUGUGUUUUUCUUGUCAACCCAAAUAAGUUUUUGUUUGCACACGUUAAUAGUUACAGGUCGAUUUCAAUUUACCUUCACAAAUUGAAUCUUCGUGUGCACAAUAUGUUAACGUAUAUCAACACCUCCGUUUUCCUCUUAAGUUAGGCGUUCUCUUCGGAAAAAUGCAACCGAGAUACGUAAAUACAAACUCCGUAGGCGUGUCCCCGGCCAGUGACGGCGUUUCCAAUCAUAAUCCGACAUAGAAAACAACAGAAAUGACCAUGUAAAGAUGGAGAAGAGAAAUUAAUCACUGAGAAAAUAACGAGAAACACGAAAUAUGCACUAGGAAAUGUUUGGUUUGUCCAUGAAAACGAAAUCUGUAUCAGAUGGUUUAUCCAUCUAAAAUAGAUCAUUCUUUGGCUGAAUGAUCCCAACAACCACAAGACCUAUAUUACAUCACAGAAUCCAUAGAGACUUCCAUUGUUUAUAUAACGGAUCAACGAAACGAAGGGCAUGUCUGUCUCAGUUACCACCCGGUCCACCAAAGAGGUAACCCAAAGAAGAUCCACCGCCCGGGGCAGCAUGGACCUUGGUCGAGGGUCGAUCCUGCACGCAGGGAGAAUCAAUAUGAACAUCAAAAUAACACAAAUUGUGCAUAAAAUAGAACGAAAACACUAUAUCAAACAAUGAAGAAGGAUAAGCCAAUUCCAGCAGCUAUAUAAACCGUUUCAGUGAACAAAUUAUAAACACCAAGAUAUUUGGAUAAUAAUUAAAAAGAUAAUGAAAUAUCGGAAGAUUCAUUGGGGUGUAACCAUGUAAGUAAACUAGGUUUUGUCUAACCCCCAAACAAUGAGGAGAAUCAUACCGUUAUGAAGUUUCCGGUGUUCUGGCCAUCUGCACGCAUGUAGUUGUUUGUAGAGGUGCUAUGGAUACCAGCAGCAGGAAUCGCCUUGGUGAUAUCAACUGGUUCAGGAGCAGGAGCAGGAGCAACAGGCUUGGAAGCAGGCUCAUCUGGAACUGGCGCAGCUUGAGCAUUGUUGGCAGCCGGUUUUGGAGCCUCUCCACUCCCAAAAAGAUAGUUCAAAGAACUCUGUCCCCCACCGCUGCUAACUCCACGACCCAUGUUCUGUAAC